GGUGGUGAAGCUGACACCUAACACUCCUUGUUGUCUUAGGACUUCGCUUUGAAUGAAUUCAGGAGUAAAACAAAGAACCCUGGACUCAAUGUAGGAGGCACACACAGGACAACUCUGAGAGUGGGAGGAGGAGGCAGAACAGUCACAGGCCUCAGGACCCAGGGAGCAGUGGCAGGAUGGCUGAGAAGUCCAAGAUCAAGGAGCCAGCAUCACAGGGUGGAAGGUGAGAGGGCCAGUGAAGACUGUUCAGGAGGAGCCCUUGGCCUAACCACCUACCAAAGACCCCGCCUGUUCACAGCACUGGCUAUUAGGUUUCAACAUGUGAUUUUUGAGCCGCACUGGUGGAGACUCUCUGGGAUGGCUCUGUCCCUGCAACAAGACUCUGCCGGGGCACCCAGGCUAUCCACAGCAUGCUUUGAAAUCUGGGUGGAGGAGAAAGCCAUGCCCCCACAGCUCUUGCACUCUUUGUGCCUGCAAAAUUAGCACCACGUGGACUCUGCCAAGGAUCACCGCUUGUGUCCUCUGGACACCUGAGCUAUAGCUGUGUGACCAAGGAAUGCUGCGCCAGAAUGUGGAGAAUAGAGACCUCAGAUGGCUGUGGGCAGUGAGGUUGCGUGGGUGUCCUGGGCUUCUCUCCCUAAACUGUUCUGUGCUGUGUUGGGCAUGGUAGCCCUGAAGAUCUCCGAAAUGCCCUUGGAUUCAUUAUUUCAUAAUCUUUAUGAAUAACACCAGGCUUCCUUCUAUCCAUGCUAAUCUCCUUAUGAAACUAGGCCACACCGUUGGUUUUCUUCCCUAAAUACUCUUUGUUGUUCUUUACAUGUCCAAGCUGAGAAUUUUCAAAUCUUUAUAUUCUGCUUCCCUUUUAAUUAUAAAUUUUGUCCUUAAAUAAUUUUCUGUUCUCAAAUUUUACCAUAAGCAGUUAAGGAAAACUAUUCUGAAUACUUUUCUGCUUAGAGAUUUCUUCUGCCAAAUCAUUACUCUUAAGCUCUGUCUUCCACAAAGUCCUAGAACAUGGGCACAAUUCAGUAAAGUUUUUUGCCACUUUGUAACAAGGAAAAUGAAAAUACAGCAUAUCAAAAUUUAUGGAACACAGCUAAAGCAGUACUGAGAGGGGAACUUUUAGCACUAAAAUGCAUGCAUUAGAAAAUAGGAAAAGUCUCAAAUCAAUCUCAGCUUCUACCUCAGGAGCCUCUUUUCUACC